rnacentral:rRNA from 1 species
UACGGUAGGGUGCAAGCGUUUAAUUCGGAAUUACUGGGCGUAAAGCGUGCGCAGGCGGUUUUGUAAGUCUGUCGUGAAAUCCCCGGGCUCAACCUGGGAAUUGCGAUGGAGACUGCAAGGCUAGAAUCUGGCAGAGGGGGGUAGAAUUCCACGUGUAGCAGUGAAAUGCGUAGAGAUGUGGAGGAACACCGAUGGCGAAGGGCAGCCCCCUGGGUCAAGAUUGACGCUCAUGCAACGAAAGGCGUGGGGAGCAAACGAGG